CCCUUAGAUGUUCUGGGCCGCACGCGCGCUGCACUGAUGCAUUCAACAAGCCUAGCCUUGACCGAGAGGUCCGGGUAAUCUUUGAAACGGCAUCGUGAUGGGGCUAGAUUAUUGCAAUUAUUAAUCUUCAACGAGGAAUGCCUAGUAAGCGUGAUUCAUCAAAUCGCGUUGAUUACGUCCCUGCCCUUUGUACACACCGCCCGUCGCUCCUACCGAUUGAAUGUGUUGGUGAGGAGCUCGGAUUGGCAGCAGUUGGUGGUUCGCCACCGGCUAUUGCUGAGAAGUCCUCCAAACCGCCCCAUUUAGAGGAAGGAGAAGUCGUAACA
rnacentral:rRNA from 1 species